rnacentral:rRNA from 1 species
UACCAGCACCCCGAGUGGUCGGGACGUUUUAUUGGGCCUAAAGCAUCCGUAGCCGGUUCUACAAGUCUUCCGUUAAAUCCAACUGCUUAACAGGUGGGCUGCGGAAGAUACUAUAGAGCUAGGAGGCGGGAGAGGCAAGCGGUACUCGAUGGGUAGGGGUAAAAUCCGUUGAUCCAUUGAAGACCACCAGUGGCGAAGGCGGCUUGCCAGAACGCGCUCGGCGGUGAGGGAUGAAAGCUGGGGGAGCAAACCGG